AGGGGUAACAUUGUGCUUGCACAGAUGACGACCGGCGCACGGGUGCGUAACGCGUAUGCAAUCUACCUUUUACAGGGGAAUAGCCCAGAGAAAUUUGGAUUAAUGCCUCAUAGUAUAUAGAAAUGGCAUCAUUUUUAUAUUAAAGAUUUAUCGGUAAAAGAUGAGCAUGCGUUCUAUUAGUUAGUUGGUAAGGUAACGGCUUACCAAGACAGCGAUAGAUAGGGGUCCUGAGAGGGAGAUCCCCCACACUGGUACUGAGACACGGACCAGACUCCUACGGGAGGCAGCAGUGAGGAAUAUUGGACAAUGGGCGAGAGCCUGAUCCAGCCAUGCCGCGUGCAGGAAGACUGCCCUAUGGGUUGUAAACUGCUUUUAUACAGGAAGAAACACUGCUACUUGUAGCAGCUUGACGGUACUGUAAGAAUAAGGAUCGGCUAACUCCGUGCCAGCAGCCGCGGUAAUACGGAGGAUCCAAGCGUUAUCCGGAAUCAUUGGGUUUAAAGGGUCCGUAUGUGGAUGAUUAAGUCCCAGGUGAAAUCUUGCAACUCAACUGUAA
rnacentral:rRNA from 1 species